rnacentral:rRNA from 1 species
UACAGAGGUCUCAAGCGUUGUUCGGAUUCAUUGGGCGUAAAGGGCGCGUAGGCGGCGGGGUAAGUCGGGUGUGAAAUCUCAGAGCUCAACUCUGAAACUGCACUCGAUACUGCUCUGCUUGAGGACUGGAGAGGAGACUGGAAUUCACGGUGUAGCAGUGAAAUGCGUAGAUAUCGUGAGGAAGACCAGUGGCGAAGGCGGGUCUCUGGACAGUUCCUGACGCUGAGGCGCGAAGGCCAGGGGAGCAGACGGG